GAUAAACGCUGGCGGCGUGCCUAACACAUGCAAGUCGAACGCCCUGUGCUUUGCGAAAGGAAGGCACAGGGAGUGGCGGACGGGUGAGUAGCACAUGGGUACCUACCGUGGGGUGAGGAAUACCACCGAGAAAUCGGUGACAAGACCGCAUACGCUCGCUUCGGUGAGCAAAGUCGCAAGACGCCACACGAUGGGCCUGUGCCUGAUUAGCUCGUUGGUGGGGUAAAAGCCUACCAAGGCGACGAUCAGUAGCUGGUCUGAGAGGAUGAUCAGCCAC
rnacentral:rRNA from 1 species